GCUUGCAAUGUACCUGAGGAGUGCCUGGCUGAUCCUGCAUGCUCAGUGAGAGGAAGAUGGAGCAUUUGGAUACAGAAGGAAAAUUAAAUGAACAUCUGCUGCCUCAAAAUAAAGUGUCAACACCCCAAAGAUAGCACAAGCUGAUAUUUUUCUUCAGAGCACCAUAUAAUUGAUGAGGAAUUCAACUCUCCCGAGGAAUUCUCAACAAAUGGCCAAUUUAAUAAAAUAAUUUAUACUGAUUGCCUGUGGGCAAGAUACUAUGUGAUAGUGAUGAUGCAAAA